GACGAACGCUGGCGGCGUGCUUAACACAUGCAAGUCGAACGGAAAGGCCUGCUUUCCCUUGUGGAUUGCGGGUACUCGAGUGGCGAACGGGUGAGUAACACGUGAGUGAUCUGCCCCCAACUUGGGUAUAAGCCUGGGAAACUGGGUCUAAUUCCCGAUAGGACUGCAGGGUGGUGUCUGUGGUGGAAAACGAUUUUCUAGUGGUUGGGGAUGAGCUCGCGGCCUAUCAGCUUGUUGGUGGGGUAAUGGCCUACCAAGGCGGCGACGGGUAGCCGGCCUGAGAGGGCGGACGGGCACAUUGGGACUGCGAUACGGCCCAGACUCCUACGGGAGGCAGCAGUGGGGAGUAUGACACAAUGGGCGGAAGCCUGAUGCAGCGACGCCGCGUGGGGGAUGACGGCCUUCGGGUUGUAAACUCCUUUCGACCGCGAGGAAGCCACCUGGUUGGAAGGGUGGUGACGGUAGUGGUAGAAGAAGCACCGGCUAACUACGUG
rnacentral:rRNA from 1 species